rnacentral:rRNA from 1 species
UACGGGGGGGGCAAGCGUUGUUCGGAAUUACUGGGCGUAAAGGGCUCGUAGGUGGCCAACUAAGUCAGACGUGAAAUCCCUCGGCUUAACCGGGGAACUGCGCUUGAGACUGGAGAGCUAGAGUUCGGGAGAGGAGAGUGGAAUUCCCAGUGUAGAGGUGAAAUUCGUAGAUAUUGGGAAGAACACCAGUGGCGAAGGCGGCUCUCUGGACCGAUACUGACGCUGAGGCGCGAAAGCGUGGGGAGCAAACAGG